rnacentral:lncRNA from 1 species
UGUGUGUGUGUGUGUGUGUGUGUGUGUGUUGGCAGAGGCCUCCCAGGUUCCCCACAGUCAUAACACGGUAGGAGCAUGGCUGUGUCUUUGCUCUGCCAAUUAUCACUCCGGAAAUUCAGCAAACAGACUAACUACAUCACACGCGCACAGUGUGUGGGGUGACUGAUGUGAGAAAUCUGCUAUAAAGCUUUGUCUCUAAUUAGAUGAAACAGGAAAAAUAGAUCUCACAAAACAUCUUGCUCACCUUACAUUUCCUCUGCCAGGUUUUGCUUGAAAGGCAGAGGCAUCUUCAGCAUCUAUUCUACACUCUCUUAGAAGGCCGAUACAUUUCUGCUGUCAUUUCUGCUGUGGACUGACUCCGUGUUACAGGAUUGUCAAAAUGAAAUUGAAUUCUUUAGAGCAGAUAGCUACAACUCUUCAGGGAAAUAGCCAGAGACAAUAUACAGUCUAUUCAACAGCAAUUAAUACAAAUGAAUAAAGAUAGUGCUAAAGUAACUAUUCCUCAUAUUGAGUACAUCCCAGUUCUUAAUGGUAAACACAGCAACUUGAUGUGUGAUCUGCCUUUUUAUGAACACUAUUUUCCUGUGGACAAAGAGAGUUAGGCCACUGACUGGACUAAUAGCCUUGUUUGGUAUGCAGGUCUACCGGAGGCCCCAAACAUAACAAUUAAUUGGCUCUAGUUCUCCUUUGUGUCAGAUCCCACAUUUCAACUCAAUUAAACCCCAUUUUAUUACAGAGCUGCGUCUGCGGCAUAAGUGUGACUAAUUGGAAAGUGGAUGAACAAGGAAAGCAAUUUUCUCACCUAGAAAUGACUCACCUACUCGUCGCACAAUGCUUUUCUUUUAUCGAACAAAUGGUUCAAGCUUCUGCACAAACUUCUUAGGAACAGUGAGCCCCAUUGUCAUGUUGGAAGGGUGGAUGAAUGAUGCCAAUUUAUCCAUCAUUACAUAACAUAGGGAUGUCUUCCUUUGUGCUCAUUCACUAUUAGAUGAGAAUAGAAAAAAACAUAAUUUCACACAGACAGGGCAAAUACAGUUUAUUGUUCAAGUUUUAUUGUUAAAGCCACUUAGUCCUAAAAACCUAAGAGGGAUUAACAUUCAUUCCAUAAGAUUUAACAAUGGAAUAAAAGCUGUCAUGUUAAUCACGAGACAUCUUUAUAAGCUAGGAGAAUUUGUUAUUUUAUUUAAUGGUUAGCACCAAUCAGUGCUGAAAGCCUUGCACUCUCCUGGAUAAGCUCUUGAAGUGUAUGUACAUUCAUAAAAGUACAUCUAUUUUUACUUUGCCUUUGACUCAAUUCAUUGGUCUACACCUCCACUAAAGUAUUAGCAGGGAGUUUUAUAACUAACCCAAGAUAGAUCAGAGCCUGUCGUUUCCAAUGGGAGCAAAUGAAUCAUAGUGGGCAGAACAAGCAAGGUGGGCAGAGCCAAACACGAGCUAGUGAGAUCUUAUUGGCGCGUUAUUUGCAUAUUUCCGGUAGGGAACGCCUUCUCUGUGACGUACGCGUGUGCACUCGAAACAAUGCCCUUUUUUUUUUACUUUGGCAAAGGGUAAAGUCUACAAAACACAGUCCACUCUGUUUGUUACAGAUUUUAGAUUGGUAACAGAAACCUGUAUGGAGAUCAAAUGUUUCAUGGAUGAGAAAAUGAGCAAGAAUGUCGGCCAAAGUCCAUCUCGCUCGAUAUUCUCCCACUGCCGGCCACUAGUGAGUGGAAAUGCUCAUUGUUCUAUCUGUGGUAUUACAUUUUCUGUGAUAGUGAGACACUUCCCUCUUGUGGUGAAAAGGAUACAGUAGUUGUAUGGAAGUCAAAUGUUCUGACUGCGCCACCCUGUGGUAAAUUCUAAGUACUGCAAUGAGAAUACUGGAACACCACUGAUCAACAACCACUCCUUAUGAAAGUAACGUGUUCAACAGAGACGUGACAGUUGGUGAUAGAGUGGUGAAAUGAAUAGUGAAAAGCAUCCUUCUCAGUCAACCUUAACGUUCAAGUUGUAUUUUGAUGUCGUGUACAGAGGUUAGGUUUAGAGUUGAGGUUGAGGGAAUGUGUUAAGGUGAGGGUUAAAGGGGUUAACAUAGACUCUGGCUUGGGAACUUCUUUGUACAUUUGAACUGUAAGUUGUCCUGUUAUGACUGUAUAUGACUGUUUUGAAUAUCACUCCCUGACCACAUUUUAUAAAGUGCCUGGGGAAGUGAGGGCCUCCACCGUGGGAGAUUUAUGAUAUGGAUGUAUUUUAUUAUCAAGUAAUAAAAGUGGUCCGGACAUCUGUUUGAUUACUUUUAUGAAACAGGGGUGGCAAUACUGAUGGAGAAUUACGAGGCGAUAGACUGAUUUACUUGCCAUCAGGAUAGCUGACUUGUUGUGAAGGUUGUACACUGGGUGAAGUGCUUCAAAACUCCAAGUAUGGCAGUACCAAGUAUCUCAAGUAAGGAAUGCAUAAUGGAUACCAUGCCAAACAAGCAAAAGCAAAAGUCUGUUGUAGGCUCAGAGAAAAGUGUUGGUAGCAAAAUACAAAGGAUGCUUUAAGUUGCUCUUUACCAUUAAGCAAUACCGAGCUGACCAGUCUAAUUUAAAUCUUACCUGAAUUCAGAGGUAUACUCUGCCAAUAACAGAGUGGGCUAGACUGGCAGAGACGGAGUGUUUGUUUCUAGAAAUAAGGGUGUUUUAGAUGGGCACAUUCUGCUGGUAAUGAUAAGCAGGGCUGUUGGCAGGCGGCUGGUGUGGGCAGGGCCAGAGAGACAGCCAGGGGUUUGAGUUAGCUUAGGCCCAGACGCUCAGACCGUUCUGUUGGAGGGACGCCAGUGAAAUUCCCUGGCCUGCUAGAGACAAAUGAUUAUGUGAAGAAGAAGAGGGGUCUGGGCCGCCAAGAGCAUAACUUCCCGUUAGAAUGGGUAAUUAGAGGACCACACAGUUAGUUCAAUCCCAUCAGUCACUAGGAAAACGGAUCGAUGAAGGAAGGAUGGACGAAGUGGGGUGCAGAUGCAGAUGUGCUGAGUCACAGGCCAUUGUGACAUCCCUUCCUCUGUCUCAAAACAACAAAGAUCCAUCUACAGUUGAGGUCAGAAGUUUACAUAUACUUAGGUUGGAGUCAUUAAAACUCGUUUUUCAACCUCUCCACAAAUUUCUUGUUAACAAACUAUAGUUUUGGCAAGUCGGUUAGGACAUCUACUUUGUGCAUGACACAAGCAAUUUUUCCAACAAUUGUUUACAGACAAAUUAUUUCACUUAUAAUUCACUGUACCACAAUUCCAGUGGGUCAGAAGUUUACAUACACUAAGUUGACUGUGCCUUUAAAAAGCUUGGAAAACUCCAGAAAAUGUCAGGGCUUUAGAAGCUUCUGAUAGGCUAAUUGACAUCAUUUGAGUCAAUUGGAGGUGUACCUGUGGAUGUAUUUCAAGGCCUAACUUCAAACUCAGUGCCUCUUUGCUUGACAUCAUGGGAAAAUCAAAAGAAAUCAGCCAAGACCUCAGAAAAAAAAUGUAGACCUCCACAAGUCUGGUUCAUCCUUGGGAGCAAUUUCCAAACGCCUGAAGGUACCACGUUCAUUUGUACAAACAAUAGUAUGCAAGUAUAAACACCAUGGGAACACGUAGCCAUCAUACCACUCAGGAAGGAGACGUGUUCUGUCUCCUAGAGAUGAACGUACUUUGAUGCGAUAAGUGCAAGUCAAUCCCAGAACAACAGCAAAGGACCUUGUGAAGAUGCUGGAGGAAACGGGUACAGUAUCUAUAUCCACAGUAAAACGAGUCCUAUAUCGACAUAACCUGAAAGGCCGCUCAGCAAGGAAGAAGCCACUGCUCCAAAACCGCCAUUAAAAAAGCCAGACUACGGUUUGCAACUGCACAUGGGGACAAAGAUCGUACUUUUUGGAGAAAUGUCCUCUGGUCUGAUGAAACAAAAAUAGACCUGUUUGGCCAUAAUGACCAUCGUUAUGUUUGGAGGAAAAAGGGGGAGGCUUGCAAGCCGAAGAACACUAUCCCAACCGUGAAGCACGGAGGUUGCAGCAUCAUGUUGUGGGGCUGCUUUGUUGCAAGAGGGACUGGUGCACUUCACAAAAUAGAUGGCUUCAUGAAGAAGGAAAAUUAUGUGGAUAUAUUGAAGCAACAUCUCAAGACAUCAGUCAAGGUAUUGGAGUGGCCAUCACAAAGCCUUGUGAUGGCCACAAGUUAAACUAUUUAAAGGCAAUGCUACCAAAUACUAAUUGAGUGUAUGCAAACUUCUGACCCACUGGGAAUGUAAUGAAAUAAAUAAAAGCUGAAAUGAAUCAUUCUCUCUAUUAUUAUUCUGACAUUUCACAUUCUUAAAAUAAAGUGGUGAUCCUAACGGACCUAAGACAGGGAAUUUUUACUAGGAUUAAAUGUCAGGAAUUGUGAAAAACUGAGUUUAAAUGUAUUUGGCUAAGGUGUAUGUAAACUUCCGACUUCAACUGUAUGUGGUCCAAGCCAGGACAAAGGAUGAUUUCAGAGAAGAGGACAGAGGGGGUGACAUCCGUGCGAUGGAAGAGUGAGCACAGGGUGGAGGACUGGAUGUGUUGGGAUGAGUCAAAUCCUGUUCUAUCCUCAGUGGAAGAGCUGAGCUCUCCAACCGCAUCCAUCCAUGAUGAGCAUGUCCUGCACUGAAACCCGCUGAUCACCUCAACCCCUGUCCUGCACUGAAGCCUCUGAACACCUCAACCCCUGUCCUGCACUGAAGCCUCUGAACACCUCAACCCCUGUCCUGCACUGACGCCUCUGAACACCUCAACCCCUGUCCUGCACUGAAGCCUCUGAACACCUCAACCCCUGUCCUGCACUGAAGCCUCUGAACACCUCAACCCCUGUCCUGCACUGAAGUCAAGCCUCUCGAACACCUCAACUCAUGUCUUAUAACCCCAUUCAGUCACUGCUGUGAUCCCUUCCCAACACUGCGUGCAAAGAACAGCUUUAUGAAUACCUCCAUACACACACACACACACACACACACACACACACACACACACACACACACACACACACACACACACACACACACACACACACACACACACACACACCGCCAAGUCUUGAGUGAACUGAAACACUACAUGCCAGCUUUACGAAUGCCACCAGAAAAAAAAGUAGCUAAGUAGCUUAGUAUGCAGAAAGCCGUUUAGUGCUCAUUGUUAUUUCUGGAUACUGUGAGAAAAAGUGCCAGAGGCAAUUAAGGCCAUUGCCUUUGAGUGGCUGUGUGGUCACUUGUUUUUAUGACGAGUCUGAAGCAGUGAAAUAGUACAUAAUGAUGUCUGGUUUGAGUAACAAACAAACACACAUACACACACACACCCACACGCACAUACACACCAGUAAGAGCCAAGUCCUGAGUGAAAUGAAUUGGAACACUACUACUGGACUCCUGAUCAGAGGACCGGACCUCACCUGGGAUUGAAAACACAUCAAGUCUGCCAAUGCCUGUUCCUGUUCAAACAACUUCUCUCUCAUUCUCCACCCAGAUCAUCUUGUCCCAAUUUUACACGUUACUUGUGAUUUCACUUUGAGGUUGGUCCCAGACUGGCAGUUGGUUUCUCUGGGCCAAAUCAAACAAUAGCCUGAUCUUCACUUUGUAACGCAAUAGGGGCAUGGCUUUUUUCCUUUUUGUGUUGUGCUUGUCAAUUUCUCCACCAAAUUUACUGCCUUCAGCAAGCUUAUAAAACUUAAAGCAUUUUGACGAAUUUAACAGUAAAAGGAUACAGAUCUAAAAUAAAACAUGGAGGCCUUUGACUUCUUAAGAUGACCCAGAAGAUUACUUACUUGACUUACUAGGAAUCUUUGGCUCCCAUAAGGAGCAUAGCAGACCAUUGAUAAAUGUCCUUCAUCUCACUCAGUUCUGGGCAAGUUCUUCCAGGUCACACCAGUUGAGGCCGCUCACAGUCACUUCUACCUGGAUGUCUCUCUAUGGGGGAAUCUCAAUUGAGUCCUCUCUCAUCUCUCCUCGCCUCCUUCUUGAAACCCAUUGGAGGAGAAGGUCACAGGGGAGGGGCCUCUGGCUUUCUCAUCCCAUGGGUUGUGAGAAGUAGGUGACGAGAAAGGAGAGAGGAUGCGAGGGGUAUGCAAUUGAGAUUAUCUCCAAGCCUUUCUGGGUCGAGAAGAUACGUCAUGAGAUACAGAAGACACAAGUUCAAAAAUGUCACUCAAACAUUUCAUAGCUCUACAUGCUUUCAGAAAUAAUUAAAAUCCCUGUCUCUAAGCAAGCAUAUUAGGGUUAUAUGAGUGUUUACAGCAGUGCCAAAUUAGAUUUACAGUAUUAUCCAUAAUCGAAAGCUGUUAAAAAGUGAGCUAAAUGUACACUGUACAGCCGAGAAUGCAUCAAAGAAAAAUGCAUCCACACCUGGACUAUCACCAGAGAAACUGACUGAGAAGUGUGUCUCUCUCUCUCUCUCUCUCUCUCUCUCUCUCUCUCUCUCUCUCUCUCUCUCUCUCUCUCUCUCUCUCUCUCUCUCUCUGAUUGGUUAACUGACAGAGGUUAUAAAGGCACCUCUGGCCACCUAGAGAGACAGAGGCACAAUUCAAUAAACGUCUUCCUCAAUUUGUCAAAUAGUCGGCAGUAGGCUACAUGCCAAGUUCAACCUGGGCUAACCCAAAUAACGAGCUGCACUGUCCCUAUAGGAGAAGCCUUUUUGGUUCCAGGUAGAACCUUUUUGGUUUCAAGUAAAACUCUUUUGAGUUUCAUGUAGAACGAUGUCAGGAAAGGGUACUACCUGGAACCAAAAAUGGUUCUUCAAAGGGUUCUCCUAUGAAGACAUCUGAAGUACCCUUUUAGGUUCUAGAUAGCACCUUUUUUCUAAGAAUGUAUAAUAGCUUGUUAAAUAAGAGGCCAAACAUUUCAUGAAACGUUGUUGCAUACAGCAUUUCAUAUAUCUUCUCCAUUUUACCAAUUUUUUGGGAUAGGGUCUUACCAGUUCGAGGUUGGCUCGCUGUCACUCUCCCUGAAAACUCCAGUCAGGUUUUGGUCGAUUUCAGUGACGUCACUCGACAUCCGGUAAUAAACGUCUUUGGCUUUACCUUAUUAAAGACCGUCUCCUAGAUGUUGAACUGAUGUGCCCAGUUGGUAGCUAGCUCAGCUUGUUAGCUGUGUUGAUGGACGUACACAGAAAGCAAACAAAAAAACUGUAAAGUAAGUUAAGGACAGAUAAACAUUAAACACACAAAGAAAUGAUUGAAAACACGGUACAUAAAAGUUUAUGCUUUUGGCUCAGUAUAUGGAGGGCUAAAACGUAUUUCCUCUCUAACAUUAUCAAUAUUAUUGUCCCGUCCUGACCAGUAAAAGGGGUUAUUUGUCAUUGUAGUUUGGUCAGGGCGUGGCAGGGGGUAUUUGUUUUGUGUGGUUCGGGUUUUUUUGGUUUAUGUUCUACAUUUUCUAUUUCUAUGUGUUAACUAGUUUUUGUAUUUCUAUGUUGGGGUUUUGUUAGGACCUCCAAUUAGAGGCAGCUGGUUGUCGUUGGCUCUAAUUGGAGGCCAUAUUUAGUUGGGGUUUGUUUCACUUGUGUUUCGUGGGUGGUUGUUUCCUGUAUAGUCUGUGCACCUUACGGGACUGUUUUCAUCAUUUGUUUUGUUUAAGUGUUUUUUCUUUAAUAAAUAAGAAGAUGAUCAAUAUA